rnacentral:snRNA from 1 species
AGGGUCCUUUUAGAACCGA